UACGUAGGGGGCAAGCGUUGUCCGGAAUCAUUGGGCGUAAAGCGCGUGUAGGCGGCUCGGCAAGUCCGCUCUGAAAGGCCAGGGCUCAACCCUGGGAUGCGGGUGGAUACUGCCGAGCUCGAGUCCGGAAGAGGCGAGUGGAAUUCCUGGUGUAGCGGUGAAAUGCGCAGAUAUCAGGAGGAACACCAAUGGCGAAGGCAGCUCGCUGGGACGUGACUGACGCUGAGACGCGAAAGCGUGGGGAGCAAACAGG
rnacentral:rRNA from 1 species